CCUACGGGAGGCUGCAGUGGGGAAUAUUGGACAAUGGGCGAAAGCCUGAUCCAGCCAUGCCGCGUGUGUGAAGAAGGCCUUCGGGUUGUAAAGCACUUUCAGUGGGGAAGAAAGCCUUGGGGCUAAUACCCUCGAGGAAGGACAUCACCCACAGAAGAAGCACCGGCUAACUCCGUGCCAGCAGCCGCGGUAAUACGGAGGGUGCGAGCGUUAAUCGGAAUUACUGGGCGUAAAGCGCGCGUAGGCGGUCUGAUAAGCCGGUUGUGAAAGCCCCGGGCUCAACCUGGGAACGACAUCCGGAACUGUCAGGCUAGAGUGCAGGAGAGGAAGGUAGAAUUCCCGGUGUAGCGGUGAAAUGCGUAGAGAUCGGGAGGAAUACCAGUGGCGAAGGCGGCCUUCUGGACUGACACUGACGCUGAGGUGCGAAAGCGUGGGUAGCAAACAGGAUUAGAUACCCGGGUAGUC
rnacentral:rRNA from 1 species